rnacentral:rRNA from 1 species
GAUCAUGGCUCAGGAUGAACGCUAGCUACAGGCUUAACACAUGCAAGUUGAGGGGCAGCAUGGUCUUAGCUUGCUAAGGCCGAUGGUCGACCGGCGCACGGGUGAGUAACGCGUAUCCAACCUGCCUUACACGUCUUGGACAGCCUUCUGAAAAGGGAGAUUAAUACAAGAUGUUAUCAUGAGUAAGCAAUUUUCGCAUUGAUUAAAGGUUUACCGGUGUAAGAUGGGGAUGCGUU